rnacentral:tRNA from 1 species
CCGGUGCGGCGCGGCGGUCGGUGCGGCCUUCCUUCGGCGGGGCCGGCGGCUGCUCGGACGGCGCCGGGGUUUCCAGCUCCGGCACCGGG